rnacentral:rRNA from 1 species
CCUACGGGAGGCAGCAGUAAGGAAUAUUGGUCAAUGGACGAAAGUCUGAACCAGCCAUGCCGCGUGAAGGAUGAAGGCCCUCUGGGUUGUAAACUUCUUUUAUCUGGGACGAAAAAGCUCAUUCUUGAGCACUUGACGGUACCAGAGGAAUAAGCACCGGCUAACUCCGUGCCAGCAGCCGCGGUAAUACGGAGGGUGCAAGCGUUAUCCGGAUUCACUGGGUUUAAAGGGUGCGUAGGUGGGUCUGUAAGUCAGUGGUGAAAUCUCCGAGCUUAACUCGGAAACUGCCAUUGAUACUAUAGGUCUUGAAUCAUCUGGAGGUAAGCGGAAUAUGUCAUGUAGCGGUGAAAUGCUUAGAUAUGACAUAGAACACCAAUUGCGAAGGCAGCUUACUACGGGUGUAUUGACACUGAGGCACGAAAGCGUGGGGAUCAAACAGGAUUAGAUACCCUGGUAGUCCACGCCCUAAACGAUGGAUACUCGACACNCAGCGAUACACUGUUGUGUCGUG